rnacentral:misc_RNA from 1 species
GAUGAAGAACGUAGCGAAAUGCGAUAAGUAAUGUGAAUUGCAGAAUUCCGUGAAUCAUCGAAUCUUUGAACGCACAUUGCGCCCCCUGGUAUUCCGGGGGGCAUGCCUGUCCGAGCGUCAUUGCUGCCCUCAAGCACGGCUUGUGUGUUGGGCCUCCGUCCUCCUCCCGGGGGACGGGCCCGAAAGGCAGCGGCGGCACCGCGUCCGGUCCUCGAGCGUAUGGGGCUUCGUCACCCGCUCUUGUAGGCCCGGUCGGCGCUUGCCGACACAUCAAUCUUUUUUCCAGGUUGACCUCGGAUCAGGUAGGGAUACCCGCUGAACUUAAGCAUAUCAAUAAGCGGAGGA